rnacentral:rRNA from 1 species
GUGAGGAAUAUUGCGCAAUGGGGGCAACCCUGACGCAGCGACGCCGCGUGGGUGAGGAAGGCUUUCGGGUCGUAAAACCCUGUCAGAAGGGAAGAAAUGCUUAUGGGUUAAUAUCUUGUAAGCUUGACGGUACCUUCAAAGGAAGCACCGGCUAACUCCGUGCCAGCAGCCGCGGUAAUACGGAGGGUGCAAGCGUUGUUCGGAAUCACUGGGCGUAAAGGGCGCGUAGGCGGCUUGGCAAGUCAGAUGUGAAAGCCCACGGCUUAACCGUGGAAGUGCAUUUGAAACUGCUUGGCUUGAGUAUCAGAGGGGAAAGUGGAAUUCCCGGUGUAGAGGUGAAAUUCGUAGAUAUCGGGAGGAAUACCGGUGGCGAAGGCGACUUUCUGGCUGAAUACUGACGCUGAGGCGCGAAAGCGUGGGGAGCAAACAGGAUUAGAUGCCCUGGUAGUCCACGCCGUAAACGAUGUCAACUAGGUGCAGGGGGUGUUGAUCCCCUCUGUGUCGCAGCUAACGCAUUAAGUUGACCGCCUGGGGAGUACGGUCGCAAGAUUAAAACUCAAAGGAAUUGACGGAA